UUUGGGAUCCGGGGUUUGGGAUCCGGGGGUUUGGGAUCCGGGGUUUGGGAUUUGGGAUCCGGGAGUUUGGGAUCCGGGAAUUCGGGGUCCGGGGGUUUGGGAUCCGGGAGUUUGGGAUCCGGGGGUUUGGGAUCCGGGGUUUGGGAUCCGGGGUUUGGGAUUUGGGGUCCGGGAGUUUAGGAUUUGGGAUCCAGGAAUUUGGGAUUUGGGAUCAGGGAGUUUGGGAUCCCGGGAAUUUGGGAUUCCAAGAGUUUGGGAUCAAAGAGUUUGGGAUCCAGGAAUUUGGGAUCUGGGAAUUCGGGAUCCGGGAGUUUGGGGUGUGGGAAUUUGGGAUUCCAAGAGUUUGGGAUCCGGGAGUUUGGGAAUUUGGGAUCCGGGAAUCUGGGAUUUGGGAGUUUGGGAUCCCGGGAAUUUGGGAUCUGGGGAUUUGGGAAUUUGGGAUCCAAGAGUUUGGGAUCAGGGAGUUUGAGAUCCAAGAGUUUGGGAUCCGGGAAUCUGGGAUCCAGGAGUUUGGGAUCCGUGAGUUUGGGAUCCAGGAAUUUGGGAUCUGGGAAUUUGGGACCCGGGAAUCUGGGAUUGGGGAAUUUGGGAUCGGGGAAUUUGGGAUCGGGGAAUUUGGGAUCAGCACCGAGGCCGAGUCGGAUCUCGAAGUUUAUUCCAACCUAAAAAAACUCUGUACAAAACAUCCGAACCCUGGAACACAACGGGAACGCGGGAGGGGGAUCCGGGGGGAUCCGGGGGAUCCGAGGGAUCCGAGGGGAUCUGGGAAGGUUUUUAUGGGAUCCGAGGGGAUUUUAUGGGAUCCAAGGGGAUUUUUUAUGGGAUUUUAUGGGAUCCAAUGGGAUUUUAUGGGAUCUGAUGGGAUUUUUUAUGGGAUUUUAUGGGAUCCGAUGGGAUUUUAUGGGAUCUGA
rnacentral:lncRNA from 1 species